AAAGGAAUUGACGGGGGCCCGCACAAGCGGCGGAGCAUGCGGAUUAAUUCGAGGCAACGCGAAGAACCUUACCAAGGCUUGACAUGCACCUGGAGCAUUUGGAGACAAGUGUGACUUUGAUACGGGUGUGCAGGUGGUGCAUGGUUGUCGUCAGCUCGUGUCGUGAGAUGUUGGGUUAAGUCCCGCAACGAGCGCAACCCUUGUUCUAUGUUGCCAGCAACACUUUUGUGGUUGGGGACUCAUGGGAGACUGCCGGGGUUAACUCGGAGGAAGGUGGGGAUGACGUCAAAUCAUCAUGCCCCUUAUGUCUUGGGCUUCACGCAUGCUACAAUGGAUGGUACAGAGGGUUGCGAUACUGUGAGGUGGAGCGAAUCCCUUAAAGCUGUUCUCAGUUCGGAUCGGAGUCUGCAACUCGACUUCGUGAAGGUGGAGUCGCUAGUAAUCGCAGAUCAGCAACGCUGCGGUGAAUGCGUUCUCGGGCCUUGUACACACCGCCCGU
rnacentral:rRNA from 1 species